AGACAGGCUCUUGCUUUGUCAACCAAGGCUGGAAUGCAGUGGUGCAAUCAUAGCUCACUGCAGCCUCUGACUGUUGGGCUCAAGCAAUCCUCCUGCCUCACUCAGCCUCCCAAGGAGGUGAGACUACAGAUAAGGAAACUGAGGCACAGAAGAAUCAGAUAACUGCCACAUUCACUGUGCUAGGAGGUGAUGGAACCUGGAUUGCAUGUCAAGAUCACACAGACUCCUCUACAGACCACCCAGGUGUGGAAACUGGAGCCCAGAGAGCAUAAGUAACCUGUCCAGAGAUGCACAACACACAAAUAGUGCGCUUCCAAAGCUCAUGUUCGCUCUCACCCAGGCCGCUGCUCAGAUAAAAAACUUACCGGAUCGGACAUGGUGAAGUAAGCACCUGAGAAACGGGUG
rnacentral:lncRNA from 10 species